AGAGUUUGAUCAUGGCUCAGAUUGAACGCUGGCGGCAGGCCUAACACAUGCAAGUCGAACGGUAACAGGAAACAGCUUGCUGUUUCGCUGACGAGUGGCGGACGGGUGAGUAAUGUCUGGGAAACUGCCUGAUGGAGGGGGAUAACUACUGGAAACGGUAGCUAAUACCGCAUAACGUCGCAAGACCAAAGAGGGGGACCUUAGGGCCUCUUGCCAUCGGAUGUGCCCAGAUGGGAUUAGCUAGUAGGUGGGGUAACGGCUCACCUAGGCGACGAUCCCUAGCUGGUCUGAGAGGAUGACCAGCCACACUGGAACUGAGACACGGUCCAGACUCCUACGGGAGGCAGCAGUGGGGAAUAUUGCACAAUGGGCGCAAGCCUGAUGCAGCCAUGCCGCGUGUAUGAAGAAGGCCUUCGGGUUGUAAAGUACUUUCAGCGGGGAGGAAGGGAGUAAAGUUAAUACCUUUGCUCAUUGACGUUACCCGCAGAAGAAGCACCGGCUAACUCCGUGCCAGCAGCCGCGGUAAUACGGAGGGUGCAAGCGUUAAUCGGAAUUACUGGGCGUAAAGGGCACGCAGGCGGUGACUUAAGUGAGGUGUGAAAGCCCCGGGCUUAACCUGGGAAUUGCAUUUCAUACUGGGUCGCUAGAGUACUUUAGGGAGGGGUAGAAUUCCAGGUGUAGCGGUGAAAUGCGUAGAGAUCUGGAGGAAUACCGGUGGCGAAGGCGGCCCCCUGGACGAAGACUGACGCUCAGGUGCGAAAGCGUGGGGAGCAAACAGGAUUAGAUACCCUGGUAGUCCACGCCGUAAACGAUGUCGACUUGGAGGUUGUGCCCUUGAGGCGUGGCUUCCGGAGCUAACGCGUUAAGUCGACCGCCUGGGGAGUACGGCCGCAAGGUUAAAACUCAAAUGAAUUGACGGGGGCCCGCACAAGCGGUGGAGCAUGUGGUUUAAUUCGAUGCAACGCGAAGAACCUUACCUGGUCUUGACAUCCACGGAAGUUUUCAGAGAUGAGAAUGUGCCUUCGGGAACCGUGAGACAGGUGCUGCAUGGCUGUCGUCAGCUCGUGUUGUGAAAUGUUGGGUUAAGUCCCGCAACGAGCGCAACCCUUAUCCUUUGUUGCCAGCGGUCCGGCCGGGAACUCAAAGGAGACUGCCAGUGAUAAACUGGAGGAAGGUGGGGAUGACGUCAAGUCAUCAUGGCCCUUACGACCAGGGCUACACACGUGCUACAAUGGCGCAUACAAAGAGAAGCGACCUCGCGAGAGCAAGCGGACCUCAUAAAGUGCGUCGUAGUCCGGAUUGGAGUCUGCAACUCGACUCCAUGAAGUCGGAAUCGCUAGUAAUCGUGGAUCAGAAUGCCACGGUGAAUACGUUCCCGGGCCUUGUACACACCGCCCGUCACACCAUGGGAGUGGGUUGCAAAAGAAGUAGGUAGCUUAACCUUCGGGAGGGCGCUUACCACUUUGUGAUUCAUGACUGGGGUGAAGUCGUAACAAGGUAACCGUAGGGGAACCUGCGGUUG
rnacentral:rRNA from 1 species